rnacentral:tRNA from 1 species
AGCUAAGGUCAAAUGGUUAGCACUUAUCUUAAAAACAAGGAGUCGGCAGUUCGAUUCUGCCUCUGGCCA